CUCGAUCUCGUGUCUUUGUAAGCUUACACUAAACGGAAACCUGGCCUGCGAUUUGUUAGCUUGUUUUAAUCGACGCAUCUUUGUUGACGAGACAUUUAUAACUUCUUGGCAGUGACUGAAUUUUAAGCAAAUUUGAAAGACGAUAUUGAGAAGAAAACUAUUUCCUAAUUCCUCUUGUGAAGACUGUAUCCUACUCCAAGUUUUCAGUGAUAAGAAGUACAGGAUCAAAACAACUUAUUCGAGCAACUACUUCCUAACUGUAAUCUAUCUUGUGAAGACUAUAUCCUACCCCAGGUUAUUGCAGUGAUAAGAAGUACAGGAUCAAAACAACUUAUUCGAGCAACUAUACUUCCUAGCUGUAAUCUAUCUUGUGAAGACU